rnacentral:rRNA from 1 species
CUUUGACCUCAAAUCAGGUAGGACUACCCGCUGAACUUAAGCAUAUCAAUAGUCGGAGGAA